CACGUAGGCUGUUUGGUAAGUCAGGGGUGAAAUCCCGCGGCUCAACCGCGGAAUUGCCCUUGAUACUGCUGGACUUGAGUCCGGGAGAGGGUGGCGGAAUUCCAGGUGUAGGAGUGAAAUCCGUAGAUAUCUGGAGGAACAUCAGUAGCGAAGGCGGCCACCUGGACCGGUACUGACGCUGAGGUGCGAAAGCGUGGGGAGCAAACA
rnacentral:rRNA from 1 species